GCCGAGGUGGCGAAACUGGUAGACGCGCCAGACUCAAAAUCUGGUGGUGGCAACACCGUGGGAGUUCGAGUCUCCCCCUCGGCA
rnacentral:tRNA from 1 species